rnacentral:rRNA from 1 species
GAUGAACGCUGGCGGCGUGCUUAAUACAUGCAAGUCGAACGGAGACGUUAUAGCAAUAUGAUGUCUUAGUGGCGAACGGGUGAGUAACGCGUUGGUGACCUGCCCCGAAGCGGGGGAUAACAGCUCGAAAGGGCUGCUAAUACCCCAUGUGGUCGCAAUGGUUAGAGGCUUUGCGAUUAAAGGAGUAAUCCGCUUUGGGAGGGGCCUGCGUCCCAUCAGCUAGUUGGUAGGGUAACGGCCUACCAAGGCUUCGACGGGUAGGGGACCUGAGAGGGUGGCCCCCCACAAUGGAACUGAAACACGGUCCAUACACCUACGGGAGGCUG